CUUUCGUCUGUUGCGCCUUUUCUCUCCCUGGUGUUUAAGAACGUGGAGGACAAAAGGAUACCAAAGAAUCGAAAACUAUGACAAAGAUUCUUCAAGAUCACAAGCACCAUCUUUGACAUGUUGCCAUGGUAGCAGAUACAGGGGAAACAAGUGUAGACGAUGCCACAAGAAGGAUGAUGAAAUUCCUCAUAUCACCUGAGCUGGCUGUGGAGUACAACAUGCUUGGCCGACAUGGGGAAAAAAAGUUCAGAGAUUUGCGUCUUUUUAAUGUUGUGUAUGAGGCACUGAAGAAUUAUUUAACAUCAAAAGUCAACUUGCAAGAAGCAGAGAAGGCUCUGUCCAAGUGGUUCAGUGGAGCUAAAGACAGAGGAGGACCGAGGGCUGCAAGGGUACAAAAUAGACUUACGGCUCUGUAAAAAAACAAACCCUGCUGAUUCAAGAUAAGCUUUUGAGUUUUCCAUCUGACUUUUUCCCCAUGUUGCUACAGUUCCAAAUAUCUAAGGAAUUUUGCUGUAGUUUGACAUUUCUAGUUUUUAAACGUUUACGCACUUUGGAAUACAGUUACGUAAAAUCACAGUUGUUGGACAAAAUAAAUGUGAAAAAUGUU